GACGAACGCUGGCGGCGUGCCUAAUACAUGCAAGUAGAACGCUGAGGACUGGUGCUUGCACUGGUCUAAGGAGUUGCGAACGGGUGAGUAACGCGUAGGUAACCUACCUCAUAGCGGGGGAUAACUAUUGGAAACGAUAGCUAAUACCGCAUGACAAUAGGGUACACAUGUACCCUAUUUAAAAGGGGCAAAUGCUUCACUAUGAGAUGGACCCGCGUCUGAUUAGGUAGUUGGUGAGGUAACGGCCCACCAAGCCAACGAUCAGUAGCCGACCUGAGAGGGUGACCGGCCACAUUGGGACUGAGACACGGCCCAG
rnacentral:rRNA from 1 species